rnacentral:rRNA from 1 species
UACAGAGGUCCCGAGCGUUGUUCGGAUUCAUUGGGCGUAAAGGGUGCGUAGGCGGCUUUCUAAGUUUGAUGUGAAAUCCUGGGGCUCAACCCUGGAACUGCAUUGAAUACUGGGAGGCUAGAGAACUGGAGAGGAGACUGGAAUUUACGGUGUAGCAGUGAAAUGCGUAGAGAUCGUAAGGAAGACCAGUGGCGAAGGCGGGUCUCUGGGCCGAUACUGACGCUGAGGAGCGAAAGCGUGGGGAGCGAACAGG